rnacentral:lncRNA from 1 species
GUGUAUGUGAUGAAAUGAACAUUAAAAUAAGUUAAGAAACUUUCACGUUGGACAUACAAAACGAAUGGACAUACAACUUAUGGAUAGAGGACAUACAACUUAUGGUCAGAGAACGAAUGGACAUACAAUUUGUGGAUAGAGGACAUACAACUUAUGGCAGAAAACGAAUGGACAUACAACUUAUGGUAAAGGCAGUGAUGGUGGACAUCCACAACUAUAUUCACCUUCACGUUUUUCACCACCGCUUUCUCCAUAAACACUGCCACCUCCACUGCAAUAUCCACCAUCACCUCCAUCAUGACCUCCACCACCACCGCCUUUACCAUGAACAUCGCCGCCUCCGCCGCGACAUCCACUGUCACCUCCACCACAACCUCCACCGUUUCCACGAGACUGAGUCUCUUUCAUAGUGAUGUUGAGACAUCGAUGGUGGUGACAGGAUGGUGAUGUUUCACAGCGAAGGUGAUGUUGCGAAGACGACGAUGAAUGAAUAUUGAAACAGAGCCAAAAGAAAAUAAGAACAAAAAAAAUUAAA